rnacentral:lncRNA from 1 species
UGCGGUUCCCAGACUGCCUGCAGAAAGCAUACUGGCAUGAAGUUGCCUUCUUCCACCACUAGAUGGCGGAUGGAGGUCACACAUGAACGUGAAUGCCCACAUCAGAUUUAUCCACUUGACUGUUCUUCGCCAAACACACUGAGCCACGUACAGCAUGCUCAUGCUGCGAGGCUCCCCGGAUGAAGAUGACACAGUAGGGUUGUGCGGUGUCAGGUAGAUGGCGACACUGAAGCCUGCAAUGGAGGCAGGUGUUGCUUUCUUCUGAUCUCCUCAGAGAUGCUGUGUGAUCUGAUCUGAGUCAGGAGAGGAGUAGACAUUAUGUAAAUGACAGAGCGGAAGGAGGAUUGGCGUGAGAGAGGUCACUGGCAAGGACGCAGAGACUCACCAGCCCUUCUGCCCACAGUGAUCCUUUCUGUGACUGAACGUUGAUGAGUUCCAUCUUGUGCCGGCCUUGUGUGACAAUCACAGCUGCUGAGAGUUCAAGGGUGCAAUGGCAUGGUAAACAUCUGCAAUGUUUUCUUAGGCUCUUCCCUUUUGUUGCUUGGUUCCUGUAAGGUAAAUACCUUUGAUCAGUAUUCCCUGCUGCCAUGAUGUUCCUGCCUUGCCACAGACCACAGAGCUAUGGACCAGUUGAUCAUUGGAGGGAAACCUGUGAAACCAUGAGCCCAAGUUAAUCCUUUUCUCCCUUGAGAUGUUUAUCUAGGGGAUUUCGUCUUCAUGGCAAAAAGCUAAAGACAGAAGACUACACAGUAUGAACAGAAAUGAAGCUGCAAAGAAGACUCCGAGACCAGACCAGCUUGCCUAGACAAGGGAGAAUCCAGAUGCGCUGCCUGGAAGAGGCUUAGGCUGGACAGAAGCACCUGGAAAGGACACUCUUCAACCCGUUGAGCCGCAGUGAGGCUCUGAGAAGGGACGUAGGGUGGUCUGAGCAAUUUAAAGCAUGCAGCUUUAUAGAUGAUGUCACACUAUGAGCAGUGGCCAAAUCUCUGCAAGGGUCACUGCUUCAUGAGAAUACUUUUCCUUGGGAGAUGUGACACACGCUCCAGCGAGGGAGCUCAAGACGGAAGAAAGCAUAGCUACCACAGAAGCCCAACUGGGUGGACCAAUGCGCUUAUUGGGGUUACUUAUCGGAGCACAAAAGACUCAAAGACAGCUGUAUUAGCAAUAUCCAAAAACAGGGCUGGGAACCCGGAGCACCAUCUGUCGGUCUCCUCACCAGAACCGUUUCUUUAAUGCCAGCCAACCACGUCAGCUCUGGAUCAGUUGCGGCGCCGACUUGGUACUCAGUCCCCCAUCUCUGGUUAGAAAUGGGAGAGCAGCCAUUGGAUGCUUCCCGAGACUCUGCACGUAAGCGGCCAUGAGUGAGCCCACGUGAAUAGCCUAGGAACAGCUUCGCUCUCCUGUUCUGAGCCCCAUGCGGAUGCAGAGCACAGGUGGCCAGCGUAUUUUCACAUGCUGCUCUGCCCUGGACCUUGGAUCACACCCUCGCUACCCUUCCAUCAUAAUAUGGCUUCCUCUUCGUGCUCGGUCGU